UACAGAGGGUGCGAGCGUUAAUCGGAAUUACUGGGCGUAAAGCGUGCGUAGACGGUUAUGUAAGUCGGGUGUGAAAGCCCCGGGCUCAACCUGGGAAUUGCAUUCGAGACUGCAUAGCUAGGAUGCGGAAGAGGGAAGUGGAAUUUCCGGUGUAGCGGUGAAAUGCGUAGAUAUCGGAAGGAACACCAGUGGCGAAAGCGACUUCCUGGUCCAGCAUCGACGUUCAGGCACGAAAGCGUGGGGAGCAAACAGG
rnacentral:rRNA from 1 species